GAUGAACGCUGGCGGCGUGCUUAACACAUGCAAGUCGAACGAAGCACUUAGAUCUCUUCGGAGUGAUGAGUGACUGAGUGGCGGACGGGUGAGUAACGCGUGGGUAACCUGCCUCGUACAGGGGGACGAACAGUUGGAAACGACUGCUAAUACCGCAUAAGCGCACGGUAUCGCAUGAUACAGUGUGAAAAGACUGAGGCGGUACGAGAUGGACCCGCGUUGGAUUAGCUAGUUGGUGGGGUAACGGCCUACCAAGGCGACGAUCCAUAGCCGACCUGAGAGGGUGACCGGCCACAUUGGGACUGAGACACGGCCCAAACUCCUACGGGAGGCAGCAGUGGGGAAUAUUGCACAAUGGGCGAAAGACCUGAUGCAGCGACGCCGCGUGAGCGAUGAAGAUUUCGGUAUGUAAAGCUCUAUCAGCAGGGACGAACAAGGACGGUACCUCAGGAGGAAGCCACGGCUAACUACGUGCCAGCACG
rnacentral:rRNA from 1 species